rnacentral:rRNA from 1 species
AUUGAACGCUGGCGGAAUGCUUUACACAUGCAAGUCGAACGGCAGCACGGGGGCAACCCUGGUGGCGAGUGGCGAACGGGUGAGUAAUACAUCGGAACGUGCCCGGUCGUGGGGGAUAACGUAGCGAAAGUUACGCUAAUACCGCAUACGAUCUGAGGAUGAAAGCGGGGGACCUUCGGGCCUCGCGCGAUCGGAGCGGCCGAUGUCAGAUUAGGUAGUUGGUGGGGUAAAGGCCUACCAAGCCGACGAUCUGUAGCUGGUCUGAGAGGACGACCAGCCACACUGGGACUGAGACACGGCCCAGACUCCUACGGGAGGCAGCAGUGGGGAAUUUUGGACAGUGGGCGCAAGCCUGAUCCAGCCAUUCCGCGUGCAGGACGAAGGCCUUCGGGUUGUAAACUGCUUUUGUAUGGAACGAAAAGGCUCUGGCUAAUACCUGGGGCUCAUGACGGUACCGUAAGAAUAAGCACCGGCUAACUACGUG